rnacentral:antisense_RNA from 1 species
UAUAACCAAAAAUAACACCCGGGUUUACAGUUGGGUUAGUUACUAAACGAACAUCACCACCACCUGGAGCCCAUGUAUCGUAAAUACCACCAAAAUAAAGAGCUUUUAAUACUAAAAGCCAAGCUCCGAUACCUAGAAUAACUAAAUGAAUACCUAAAAUAGUAGUCAUUUUGUUUUUAUCUUUCCA